CCAGUUCGAGCUUCCCAGCUGCUUUGUUUACCUAAUCAAGCCUGGGCAAUGGCGGGCGCCCCUCCCCCAGCCUCGCUGCCGCCUUGCAGUUUGAUCUCAGACUGCUGUGCUAGCAACCAGCGAGACUCCGUGGGCGUAGGACCCUCCACGCCAGGUGCCGGAUAUAAUCUCGGGGAUAUAAUCUCCCGUUUUUUAAGCCGGUCCGAAAAGCACAAUAUUCAGGUGGGAGUGACCCGAUUUUCCAGGUGGACAUUUGUGUUGAUUUCAUAUCUUUGCUAUUGUGAAUACUACUGCAAUUAACAUGCAAGUGCAACCAAUCAAGCUGAUGUCUUCAAUUUAUUCAUGUAUUCAUUCAUUAUUCAUUGAUAUAUAGCCAAUCAAGCAAGCAAGCAAACAAAAAUAUAUGAGUGCCUAUCAUGGACCAAAAUUUUGCUGGCUAAAGACUGAAGAAAUAGAAGAUAAAGUUUAAAUACAGUUCAUUUGUCUUCUUUAUAGACUCACUUUUUGCAGCAGACAAUGUGCUAUGUCUGAAACAGUAAAUUCCAGGGACCUUAGAAGAAAAUAA
rnacentral:lncRNA from 1 species